rnacentral:rRNA from 1 species
GAUGAACGCUGGCGGCGUGCCUAAUACACGCAAGUCGAGCGAACGGACGAGAAGCUUGCUUCUCUGAUGUUAGCGGCGGACGGGUGAGUAACACGUGGAUAACCUACCUAUAAGACUGGGAUAACUUCGGGAAACCGUAGCUAAUACCGGAUAAUAUUUUGAACCGCAUGGUUCAAAAGUGAAAGACGGUCUUGCUGUCACUUAUAGAUGGAUCCGCGCUGCAUUAGCUAGUUGGUAAGGUAACGGCUUACCAAGGCAACGAUGCAUAGCCGACCUGAGAGGGUGAUCGGCCACACUGGAACUGAGACACGGUCCAGACUCCUACGGGAGGCAGCAGUAGGGAAUCUUCCGCAAUGGGCGAAAGCCUGACGGAGCAACGCCGCGUGAGUGAUGAAGGUCUUCGGAUCGUAAAACUCUGUUAUUAGGGAAGAACAUAUGUGUAAGUAACUGUGCACAUCAUGACGGUACCUAAUCAGAAAGCCACGGCUAACUACGUG